rnacentral:lncRNA from 1 species
GACACUAAGUCUUCCUUAAGAUUUUUUUCCUACAAGGGAAAAAUGCGAUUUGGAAAAAGAGAAAAGUUGAACCCCUUGUUAUGUGGGACUUUUUGCGGAUCAUGGAGUGCAUUGGACCCGUAGCGUACCACCUUAUUUUGCAUCGAGAAUUUGUGGGUCUACGUGAUGUUUUUCACGUCUCCAUUCUAAAAAAGUGUCACUCUGACCCUUCUCAU